UACGGGGGGGGCAAGCGUUGUCCGGAUUUAUUGGGCGUAAAAGGCUUGUAGGUGGCCACGCCAAGUCGGAUGUGAAAUCUCCCGGCUCAACUGGGAGGGGUCAUUCGAUACUGGCGGGCUCGAGGCCGGUAGGGGGAAGUGGAAUUCCCGGUGUAGUGGUGGAAUGCGUAGAUAUCGGGAGGAACACCAGUGGCGAAGGCGGCUUCCUGGACCGGUUCUGACACUGAGGAGCGAAAGCGUGGGGAGCGAUC
rnacentral:rRNA from 1 species